rnacentral:rRNA from 1 species
CCUACGGGUGGCAGCAGUGAGGAAUAUUGGUCAAUGGCCGAGAGGCUGAACCAGCCAAGUCGCGUGAGGGAAGAAUGUCCUAUGGAUUGUAAACCUCUUUUGUCAGGGAGCAAAGUCAGCCACGUGUGGGUGUUGGAGAGUACCUGAAGAAAAAGCAUCGGCUAACUCCGUGCCAGCAGCCGCGGUAAUACGGAGGAUGCGAGCGUUAUCCGGAUUUAUUGGGUUUAAAGGGUGCGUAGGCGGGUUAUCAAGUCAGCGGUAAAAGCGUGGAGCUCAACUCCAUCCAGCCGUUGAAACUGAUGGUCUUGAGUGGGCGAGAGGUAUGCGGAAUGCGUGGUGUAGCGGUGAAAUGCUUAGAUAUCGCGCAGAACUCCGAUUGCGAAGGCAGCAUACCGGCGGCGGACUGACGCUGAGGCACGAAAGCGUGGGUAUCGAACAGGAUUAGAUACCCUGGUAGUC